AGGCCCACGUGCAACAAGUAAGCAGGCAUAGUCUUUCUGGAAGAGGAGCACGGGCACCUGCUUGCUAAUUUCCCUCAAUACCAAGAAACCUGAAUCAUCACCAGAGACCGCAAACAUAGGAUUUUGAAAACAACAAAGUAGAUGAGAGCAGAGAAAAGGAGGGACAGAUGCACAAUGGGAGAGAAAGAAAGAACAAAAGGGACAGGAGGGGCAAGAUACAUCUGGCUGUGCCUGAAGCAAGAACUACUGUUGGAUUUUUUACUAACAUGAGCCAAUCACUUCUGUUGACUUUAACCAUCUAUAAAAAAUCACAGAAGACUGGCAUAUGGAGGUUAACUCAAG